rnacentral:rRNA from 1 species
CCUACGGGUGGCAGCAGUGAGGAAUAUUGGUCAAUGGGCGAGAGCCUGAACCAGCCAAGUCGCGUGAGGGAAGACGGUCCUAUGGAUUGUAAACCUCUUUUGUCGGGGAGCAAAAAGGCCUCGUGAGGCCACAAGUGAGAGUACCUGAAGAAAAAGCAUCGGCUAACUCCUUGCCAGCAGCCGCGGUAAUACGGGGGAUGCGAGCGUUAUUCGGAUGUAUUGGUGUUAAAGGGUGCUUGGGCGGACUGGACAGUCGGCGGUAAAAUCGAUAGGUCCAAACUCGUUCCGCCGUUGAAACUGUCGGUCUUGAGUGGGCGAGAGGUAUGCGGAAUGCGUGGUGUAGCGGUGAAAUGCAUAGAUAUCACGCAGAACUCCGAUUGCGAAGGCAGCAUACCGGCGCCCGACUGACGCUGAGGCACGAAAGCGUAGGUAUCGAACAGGAUUAGAUACCCCAGUAGUC